rnacentral:rRNA from 1 species
UACGUAGGGGGCAAGCGUUGUCCGGAUUUAUUGGGCGUAAAGAGCGUGUAGGCGGCUUUACAGGUCCGUUGUGAAAACUCGAGGCUCAACCUCGAGACGCCGGUGGAAACCGUGAGGCUAGAGUCCGGAAGAGGAGAGUGGAAUUCCUGGUGUAGCGGUGAAAUGCGCAGAUAUCAGGAAGAACACCCGUGGCGAAGGCGGCUCUCUGGGACGGUACUGACGCUGAGACGCGAAAGCGUGGGGAGCGAACAGG